rnacentral:miRNA from 1 species
UUUAAUUAGUAUAGCCUGUAUU